rnacentral:miRNA from 1 species
UUUGGGACCUGUGUUUAAGUAA